CAGGCUGUAUUUCAGCCCAUGGCAAAGGAUUUGAAUUGCUGAACAGUCCUUUUCAGAUGCCAAUGGAGAGAAGAGUGCAUUUGUUAGGUAGAAAUGCCCUAAUCAGCAUGGUGUAUGACUUCUGACUCAUAACUGUUCCUCGGACUUCGCUACAUCACUCUAGUGCGUAAAUGAAUUUGAAUAUUCAGUUCUAGUGGGUCCUGUUGUACAUCAGAGACUUUCAAAGCCAGAUGAAAGAACUGGAUGGAUGUCAGCUGCUUCCUGUAGAUUAACUCAUGAUUAGGUGACUGACAGCAUGAAAGAGCCUGCCAUCUUGCCCCAUUUAUCCAAACUGAGAGUCAGAGGUGAUUCAGCACAUGCAUGUACAUAGAAAUGAUAAAAGGGCACAUUAUAUGCCAGCUGUCUCCCAAGACUGAUUUAAUUAAAUCAUAAACAUGUCAUGUCCUGACAUUUAUGUCUAGUUGUGUUGCAAUGUCAUGUUAUGCUACAAUUACCAAUAAUUCAUGAUAUAUCGCCUCAGUGAUGCAGGUUCUUCAGGGGUUCUUGGGAU